rnacentral:lncRNA from 1 species
AAGGCCUGCCCUAGUUUCACCCACCCCAUCCAUCUCCCUGGGCACACCUGCUCCUGCCAUCGGCACUCCUACUAUCAUGGCUGCAUCUGGGGUUUGGAGUUCACAGAAACCUCUUAAAAAGGCACCCAAUUGCUCAACUUUGCUAAGCAGAUGAAGAGUGAAAUAAAUGUUGCUUCACCAGCUGGGCUGGAAACCAAAUGAAAAUGCAGCAUCUCCAGGCAAUUUCCUUAAAAUGGAUCAACUUGAAACAUUCUCUAUCACAGGACCAGUAGACAGGAGAGGAGCCAAAGAAGGAAGGACUGUGCGUGUCGGAGCAGACAAAGAAUUAAUAAAAGGGUCACUGAACCUGCUCUGAAUCUCAGAUGCAUCCUUCGUGAAGU